rnacentral:rRNA from 1 species
UACGUAGGGACCAAGCGUUGUUCGGAUUUAUUGGGCGUAAAGCGCGUGUAGGCGGCCAGAUAGGUCUGCUGUGAAAACUCGAGGCUCAACCUCGAGCUGUCGGCGGAAACCAUCUGGCUAGAGUCCGGGAGAGGAGAGUGGAAUUCCUGGUGUAGCGGUGAAAUGCGCAGAUAUCAGGAAGAACACCGGUGGCGAAGGCGGCAUCCUGGACCGGCAUUGACGCUGAGGAGCGAAAGCCAGGGGAGCAAACGGG